CGUUCUUAUGAUAGAAAAAAAGAACAUAGAACAAAAAUUAAGCAUUUAAUCUACAUCUAGGUCUCUGAGCACAAUCAAUUGAGUUUGUUUGUUUCUAAAAAAGCUGUUAAGAUCAUGCAGAAACAAAACACUGCAUAUAAUGUUGAAGUUAAGUCCAUGAAAAGAUUGCAGAGUUCCCUGGCUAAACUUGGUUCUUAAACUAAUUAUAGUAUUAAUAGCUUGUGAAGGACUUCAAUUAUGAAGACCAAAAGUUUAUCAAGUAGGCUUAUUAUACAUUUCUAGAACGACAUGGAACUGAUACAGUUUAAAUAUUACUUGGUUAAACGCAACCUCUGUAAAAGGUGAAAUGUGGAAAUCAUUGUGUCUCCAACCACCCAAUAGCCCCUUUUUUAUAGUCUACUUUCUUCCCUCUGUUGAUGUUUGUCUGUACAGUGGAUAGAGUUGAAACCCAGGUUAACAUUUUAUGACAAUUAUGGAACUAUCCUAUAAUAAUUUAUGAAUACUGUAGGUCUGGUUAUUGGGAUGAUGUUUACUAUAUGAAUAUGUUUCUUAUAUGAAUAUAUUGAUUUAUUCUGGAAUACAGGGAGGAAAGAGAAGGAUGGCUCAAGAUACCUACUUAUCAGAAAACAUUUAAGAGUUAAAGGACAAUGCCAGAACGAUUAGCUUUGCUGAUUCUGUCUCCAGUCAGCCUAUGAAACUGGUUUGACAAGGAAAGGCCAAACCCCAGAUGCAGGAGAACAAAGAACUAUGGCAGCAUUAAAGGACACUUCAGGCACCUUUAAGAACCUAUGACUGCCUAGGUCACCAUCAGAAAGAAUUUCUAUAACCAAGUUCUAGAGAAAAUUCCAGGAAUAGUUGUGAAGCAGAUAAUCAGCUCCAAGGUAUUAAAGAUACAGAAAACACAAGCAAACUGGUAAUAAAACUUGAAUACUCUUAUUUUGGGAAGCCUAUCAAAAUAUUGCAUGCAUUUAUACGGCAGCUGUGAUCACAGUAUCUGAGCACAAUACAUGUGGCUUAGAUGAAGGCAAGAGUAUCCCACUGUAGGAGUUAAUACAAUACAACCUUCUUCAGUAAACCCCUAGUCAAACAUUGCUCGUUUGGUUUAGUCAAAAUGGAUUACUUUUUCUAAAAUAUAUCAAAAUGAUAUGCAAGUUGAUAUGGAAGGUUUGGGAUUUAAAAUGGCUAAGCAAGACAUACCGCGGUAGAAUGCUCUUUCUUCUCAUGAAGCCUGGCACUUCGACGUUCCUCAGAGUAUGCAUGUUGCUUUAAGGCAUUAAAGACUUGAUUGGAUAGUUUUAAAUCCAUUCCAAUUCCAUCUCCAACCUGGAAAUCAGGCCCAAACUACAAAACAGACAAUUUAAACUACUACUACUUGAGACAGAGAAAGAUACAGAAAAUGAACAAGAUUUUGAUUCAAAUAUUCAAGAACUAACUUUUAUAAUGCUAAGCUUCAGAACUGGAAGAGUGGAUGCUUCAGUAAAUGGCUUCUGUGACAGCAUUCCACCAAGCAAGUUUUACAGAGUGUUAACAAAAUGUUCUAAUAUAAUUUAAAAUCAAGAGCUAAGCAAUUGCUCUCACCCACUCUUUAAGUAGAUUACACAUCACUUAUCCUAUAAAGAUAAUACUGGCAUGCAUUUCCUUCUUUCCAAUAUUUUUUGAUACAACUAUGUUAAUGCAAAUUGCAAAUAUUUACUGCUGUAGAUAGACAGAUUAUAAGCCAGCAUUCUGCACUAAGUGAUUAAGAUUCAGUUUCCCUGACUCAGAUAAGGUUUGUCUUCUGUUUUUUAAAUCAUUUGGAUUACAUGACUAAGAUGUUUACCAGCAUAUGCUUGAUGAUUUUCUCCUCUUAUUACUGAACUUGCUGGUAUAUUUGUGCUAAAGUAAUUUAUUUCUGUACAUAAACAUUUUUGUAUCACUUACAUAUAGUAUUACUUGAACAGUUUAGAAAUAAAAAUUCAGUUUUCCACCAAUA